rnacentral:tRNA from 1 species
GGCCCUGGGGUGUAACACGUGAGGUUGCAAACCUUAAAAUGCAGGGUAGUACCUGCCGGGGCU